rnacentral:rRNA from 1 species
CGGCGUCACGAGUGGCAAUCACAUUUAUUGGGUCUAAAGCGUUCGUAGCCGGUUUAGUCAAUCUUUUGUGAAAUUGUCGGGCUUAACUCGACAGCGUGCAGAAGACACUACUAGACUUGAGACCGGGAGGGGUUAGAAGUAUUUCAGGGGGAGCGGUAAAAUGUUAUAAUCCCUGAAGGACUACCAAUGGCGAAGGCAUCUAACCAGAACGGAUCUGACGGUGAGGAACGAAGGCCAGGGGAGCGAACCGGAUUAGAUACCCGAGUAGUCC